CAUGGAACUCAUACUCUGGUCGCGGUUGGCUCUGGAGACGACAGCACAAUUCAGAACGUGCAUGAGGCUUUGACGCCCAGCUCAUCCAAAGGAGUGAUUGGUGAAAGAGUCAAGUGCAUGAUGACAAAGUUGAAGGAGACAAGACAUCACUUCAGGAUUCAAUCAAAUGACUGGCGAAAAACACGGAAUUGAUUCUCCGAUCGGGAUUUUGAAUUUCCGUGUCAGAAUGCACAACAAACCUCCUCCUCGUCAAAGCCCGUCAUGUCCCAGAUGUAAUUAAGCCUCAUCUGUCUCCUCUUCCAAUGCUCCAUGAACAUUGUGGCUGCAGAACACAAAGACGCCAAAUUCAAUUUGAGGCACCUACCCCAGAGCGCCAUAAAGAUGGAGAAGAAGACGGUGGCCAUGUUGUCGAACAGGUGGCUGGCCCUGGCAGUGCCGCAAGCCUCGACGAGCUUCCAGUAGCUGCAUGCGCGAUCGCACAGCGGACACAUGGUGAUGUUGUUCCUUUCAUCACAGAUCUCCAUACUGAAGCAUGUAGGAAAUGGGACAGGAGAUCAGCAGCAUGGUUGCGGGGAGCCUGGAGCCUAUUCCAUGUAACUCGGGGCACGAGGUGGGGGACACCGUGGACGGGGUGCCAGCCCAUCACAGGGCACAAUCGCACACCCAUUCACACACUAUGGACAAUUUGGAAAUGCCAAGCAGCCUCCAACACAUGUCUUUGGACUGGGGGAGGAAACCAGAGUACCUUGAGGAAACCCCUCAAACACGGGGGAGAACAUGCAAACUCAGUGCACACCGGACAGGGACUGGAAUCAAACCCCCAACCCUGGAGGUGUGAAGCAAACUUGCUAACCACUAAGCCACCGUGGCCCCCUGGACAUUUUGUUAGUUUGAAAUAACAAGAACAGCCACACACAGCCAGCACAAUUUGUUCAUUUUAUUUAAAGUUGUUACUUUUAUCCUAACUAGGCAUACACUAAGUAGAGUUCUUGAAUAUAAGAAUUGUUUGCAGUAUUCAAUAUUAAAAACAGACACAGCAGAGCAUACAUAUAGCACUUGACAUUGCAUCAGCAUUCACAAAGGAUUAACGCACAGCAUGCUGCUCGAAAUACAAAAUGCCAAUUGUUAAAAUGUCAAAAGAUGUUGGCUGUAGGCCUAGGAUUGUAGGUGGGAUUGAGCUUUCUUUAAAAUGUCACUGUAGACCUCUUUCCACUCAUCGUCAAAGAAAAGACCUACUUGUUAAUAUGUCAAGUUUUAAUACCUUUCUCAACUCAAUCAUUUGACUAGACAUUUUUAUUUCAAAUCUAUUAAUACAUAAUUAAGACUGCAAGCUCUUCUUCAGCAUUUCAACAUUUCAAGCUUUUAGUCAUAAACGCAAGAUUCAUAUUGUUAGCUGUGGUGAGAACACUGUUAUAUAAUUUCUAUGGAAACCACUGCAGUUCAUAGUAUUGUUAUAUACAAUCCCAAUUCCAAAAUAAAUUGGGAUGCUGUGUGAAAUGCAAAUAAAUGUAAAUAAAAACAGAAUGCAAUGAUUUGCAAAUCUCAUAAAACCAUGUGUUAUUCACAAUAGAACAUAUUAAAUGUUUAAACUGAGUAAAUAUACCAUUUUAAGAAAAAAAUUAGGUCAUUUUGAAUUUGAUGGUUGCAACACGUCUAAAAAAAAAAAAAAGUUGGGACGGGGUAGCAAAAGGCUGGGAAUGUAAGUGUUUCUAAAAAGAAACAGCUGAAGGUUAAUUGGCAACAGGUCAGUAAGAUGAUUGGGAAUAAAAAAGAGUAUCUUAGAGAGGCAGAGUCCUUCAGAAGUCAAUAUGGGCAGAGGUUCACCAAUCUGUGAAAAACUGAGUCUAGAAUUUGUAGAACAAUUUCAGAAUAAUGUUCCUCAAUGUAAAAUUGCGAAGACUAUGAAUUUCUCAUCAUCUAAAGUACAUAAGAGAAUCUGGAGAGAUCUCUGUGCACAAGGGACAAGGGUGAAAAUCAAUAUCACAUGCCUGUGAUCUUCGGGCCCUCAGGCAGCGCUGCGUUAUAAACAGGCAUGAUUCUGUAAAGGAAAUCACUGCAUGGGCUCAGAAACACAGUUCACCGUGCCAUCCACAAAUGCUGGUUAAAGCUCUAUUAUGCAAAGAAGAAACCAUAUGUGAACAUGAUACAGAAACGCCGCCAUCUUCUCCGGGUCAAAGCUCAUUUAAAAUGGACUGAGGCAAAAUGGAAAACUGUUCUGUGGUCAGACGAAUCAAAAUUUGAAAUUCUUUUUGGAAACCAUGGACGCCGCAUCCUCUAAACUAAAGAGGACUAAAGAGGAGAGGGACCAUCCAGCUUUUUCAUACGGCUCAGUUCAAAAGCCUGCAUCUCUGAUGGUAUGGGAGCGCAUUAGUGACUAUGGAAAGGCAGCAUCAAUGCUGAAAAGUAUAUACAGGUUUUACAGCAACAUAUGCGUUUAUCCAGAUUCCAAACCCAUCUUUAAUUCUGAAAGACUCUGCCUCUCUAAGAUACUCUUUUUUAAAUACCCAAUCAUGUUACUCACCUGUUGCCAAUUAACCUAAUUGGUUGCAAAAUGUUCCUCCAGCUGUUUCUUUUUAGUAACACUUAUUUUUACAGCCCUUUUGUUGCCCCUGUCCCAACGUUUUUGAAACCAUGAAAUUCAAAAUCACCUUAUUUUUUUCCUUACAAUUUCCUCAGUUUAAACAUUUGAUAUGUUUUCUAAUGCUCUAUUGUGAAUAACAUAUGGGUUUAUGAGAUAUGCAAAUCACUGCAUUCGGUUUUUAUUUACAUUGGACAUUUUUUGGAAUUGGGCUUGUACUGUAGGUGAGGUCAUUUUAAUAAUGCGUUCAUCCUAUUCAUCAUGCGAGGAUAAAUCGUGUGAGUGUGUUGUACAUUUUGGAUAUAGUUAGGAGCAUUUUAGUUACUUUUUCUAAACUUCUGUAAUUAAGGAUAUCCGUUUUUCUAUUUUUGGGGACUUCAACCUUCCUACAGUAUGAAAACAGUUUUGCUCUACAAAGCCACUGAGGUGACAUGGUGAUUAUUUUAAAUACAGUGUGGAUAUUGUGGCCAUGAGUUAAUAUUUCGAAGCUACACAUCAGGUCUCUAAUAGCCAUGAAUUAUGCCGUGGCCAUGAGAUACCAAAGUCGAGACGACAAAGUUGAUAUAAAUGGCCAUGAAUUGUGUAUCUUGAGGCCACAACUUAAUAUGUAAUGGGAACGCCAUAUUUAACAUGUGGUCUCCUCACUUAAGGUGAAGAGUUUUCCAUGGCCACACAUUGUUUAGUUCAACUGAUUUCUCUGUGUAUUAGUGUUUCUCACCACAAUUGAACUUUUUAUGGCCACAAAAGUAGAUUUUGAGAAAAUCUGUAACGGCUCAGGAAUAUCCCCAACACUUCUCUACACUUUUUGUUUUUUUGCGCUUAAUUAUUGCUUCGAGUUACAUUUGAAUAGCACUGUAAUACUUUACUACACAUGACAGUCACAAAACUCACAUUCUUUUCCUGAAUGUAGAUUCGAAGUCCUAAUUCGAAUAAAUCAAGGUAUAUCUUUAAUAUAUUCUUCAGUUUUGAGUCAAAAUGUAGUUGUGAACUACCUAGAUCAAGUCUGACAAUUUACUGUGUCUACACAGCCUUCCACAGAGCAUAAAAAAUGCAAAGAAGAAACAAAUGCAAGAGAAAAACAAUGACCCGAGUCCAAUGUUAUGAAGUUUUCCCUUAUAAGGAAAUGUACUGAUAUACUGCAAAAUACUAUGUAUUAUAUUUAUUAAUAUAUGUAUUUUUUGAUAUAUUAUGAUAUAUCUAAUAAGGCCACAUUUUGCCUCCAGGCUUGUCUUUGAUAAUCAACAUGCAUGUGUGUAAGAUGAAUAUAAAAUCCUGCAUAAUCAGGGGCAUACAGUCAUUUCAUACAGUGUUUUAUAUAUAGAGAUGUUAUACAAUUAUACCUUAUGUAUCACACAAUAUAUGUGAAAUGUGUUAACCUUCUCCUCACUAGGAUUGAUAUGUUUCUCCAUAUAGCUUAUGAAGAUUUGUAAUAAUCUUUAUAUAGCGUGUUAAAUUACAUUUAUAUUUUGCUGUCUUAGGGUCCGUUACUAUGCUUUUCUGUUCCCAUUGCCACGUUCCUUUUAUUGGCCGAAGAACAAAACAGAAAGAAAGGCCUGAUAGAAAACAAUUAAUCACAUAAGAUGUUAGUGCAGUAGGUCUCAGUAUUCUCCAGAGCUACUCAAUAUUCCUGCACAAUAACGCAUUACUGUUACAGUAAAAAGUAUUCAGAGCAGCUGUGAAAGCUUCAGACGAUAAAAGGAUGCCAGCAGUCGGCAUCCAUUCACAUGUAGUUAAUCUGUGCCUUAAGUGCAGCUCAAGAGUGCUGUGAAUUCAGCGCGUAUGCUUAAGAACUGUCAUUACAGACUACAUUAGCGCCCAUUAUGACUGCAGACAACUGUAUAACAACUUUUCUCCAUCUAAUUACGACGUGUUUGGAAAUCCAUCAGGAGGCAAGCUGAGUAACCGACUGUUAGAAAAGUUUUACCUGCAUAACUGCUUCCUUAAUUACUUUUAUUUUCGAGUUCUCCACUUGCUUUAUCCGAGUAAGCCUUAGGGCACUUGGCAGUUCUGUAGUAAACGUUACUGGGCAUGGUUUCUUACUGACUCAGACAUGUACUCAGCCAUCAACGCUCAGGUGAGUCCGUGUCUCCGCAUCGUGUGAGAACACAGACACAACCUGUUCAGCUGGAUCAUUAAAAUGGUAUCAACCAA